rnacentral:misc_RNA from 1 species
AAGACUAUAGACCUGCGGAGUACCUGCGGAAGGAUCAUUAAAGAGAAAACUGCCCUUUGGGUAGAUCUCCCACCCUUUGUUUACCUUACCUUUGUUGCUUUGGCAGGCCCGUCUUCUGACCACCGGCUUUAGCUGGUCCGUGCCUGCCAGAGGACCCCAAACUCUUAAUUUUAAGUUGUCCGAGUCUUAUAAAAUAGUAAAAACUUUUAGCAACGGAUCUCUAGAUCGGAAGAGCACACG